AGCAGCCGCGGUAAUUCCAGCUCCAAUAGCGUAUAUUAAAGUUGUUGCAGUUAAAAAGCUCGUAGUUGAAUUUCGGGAUCAAUAUAUUGGUCAUGCUUAGGUAUGUACUGGUAUUAUUGAUUUCUCCCUUCUGAAGAACCAUAAUGUCAUUAAUUUGAUGUCAUGGGGAAUCAGGACUGUUACUUUGAAAAAAUUAGAGUGUUUAAAGCAGGCUUUCGCUUGAAUACAUUAGCAUGGAAUAAUGAAAUAGGACGUUUGAUUCUAUUUUGUUGGUUUCUAGGAUCGACGUAAUGAUUAAUAGGGAUAGUUGGGGGCAUUAGUAUUCAAUUGUCAGAGGUGAAAUUCUUGGGUUUAUUGAAGACUAACUACUGCGAAAGCAUUUGCCAAGGAUGUUUUCAUUAAUCAAGAACGAAAGUUAGGGGAUCGAAGACGAUCAGAUACCGUCGUAGUCUUAACCAUAAAACUAUGCCGACUAGGGAUCGGAUGAUGUUAAUUUUUAAUGA
rnacentral:rRNA from 1 species